rnacentral:rRNA from 1 species
AACGAACGCUGGCGGCAUGCCUAACACAUGCAAGUCGAACGAACCCUUCGGGGUUAGUGGCGCACGGGUGCGUAACGCGUGGGAACCUGCCUUUAGGUUCGGAAUAACAGUUAGAAAUGACUGCUAGUACCGGAUAAUGUCUUCGGACCAAAGACUUAUUGCCUUUAGAUGGGCCCGCGUUGGAUUAGAUAGUUGGUGGGGUAAUGGCCUACCAAGUCGACGAUCCAUGGCUGGUCUGAGAGGAUGAUCAGCCACACUGGGACUGAGACACGGCCCAGACUCCUACGGGAGGCAGCAGUGGGGAAUAUUGGACAAUGGGCGAAAGCCUGAUCCAGCAAUGCCGCGUGAGUGAUGAAGGCCUUAGGGUUGUAAAGCUCUUUUACCAGGGAUGAUAAUGACAGUACCUGGAGAAUAAGCUCCGGCUAACUCCGUGCCAGCAGCCGCGGUAAUACGGAGGGAGCUAGCGUUGUUCGGAAUUACUGGGCGUAAAGCGCACGUA